UGCAGAGUGAAGCGGAGUUGUUAUGCUCCGCUUUAAUGCACUAUUUCAGUGUAUGAAAUAACGGUCACAAGUCCGU
rnacentral:ribozyme from 1 species